rnacentral:rRNA from 1 species
AAAAUGACUCUCGGCAACGGAUAUCUAGGUUCUCGCAUCGAUGAAGAACGUAGCGAAAUGCGAUACUUGGUGUGAAUUGCAGAAUCCCGUGAACCAUCGAGUUUUUGAACGCAAGUUGCGCCCGAAGCCAUUAGGCUGAGGGCACGUCUGCCUGGGCGUCA